UUUCUUAUUAGUCUUUAUAGUCAGUCCCUGAGAAGCUGAGUCCCGCAGAUGGCUUGUGUACCAGAUGAUGGGAAUAGUGGAUUCUUGAAGGCAUGUGAACCCCCACAGUUGUUAUGGAAACUGGUAGAGUUGGACCUUCCAGAAAUAAAAAACAUUUUGGGAGAAACGCUGGUUGACCUGAGUUUGGAGAUGCACAGAGGGAUGAAAACAAUGUAUUGAUGAACUACAACCCCUGUGUGGUAAGCUUUGUGACUGGCAGCAGUAAGCCUGCCAGUCAAUUGGGCACAGCAGGCAGUGCCAGGAGUUCAUGUGACGGACAGGAAGGGUACAGCAGGCCCCAAACAACAAACAGCAAAAGGGAAGAGCGGUUCAUCUUACAGCAGGAAUGCAACUUUGGAAAAAGGAUGUUCAGUUCUUACAGGAGUGUGUAGGUGAACAUCAAUACAGGUCAGAGGUCACAGAAACAAGACGAGAACCUUCCAUGUCAGGUAGGUUUUUGGUUUUGUACCAUUUUAUUUUUGUAUGUUAGGAUACUGGUGUUUUCAUGCUUUCAUGUUUGUUUGUUUGUUUUGUUUUGUUUUUAUAAUGCCAGAACAUGUGACAUGGGUUGACAUGAUAUUUGUCCCAAAAAGGCUCCAAAAUGAAUAUUUAGAGCUGAUCUCCCUUUUCG